rnacentral:lncRNA from 1 species
CUACUGUGUGUGGAGAGCUGCCAGAUUUGCAGUGGACUUCGUAUAAGCAAGCAAUAAAUUUUUUUUUGGUGUGAGCCCCUGAGAUUUCGAAGUUAAAUAGCUACCUUACCAUAACAAAUCUGUUCUGAAUAAUACAGAAAACAGUGAUGAGGUGACUUCUGAACUGGGUUUUAAAGGGCCAGGAACAAUGGAAGGACAGAAUAUGUUUGUCAGGGCUUCUUCCUUUCCUCCUUUUCUGGGAAGAACUUAGACCCUUAAAAGAGCAGGAGCAAACUUAGAGGUAAAAGUAGGUUAGUAGUCCAGAUUUUAAGGAGGUAUUUAAGAAUCCACUAUGUGUCAGAUAAGUCAGAAAAACACAGCAUAAAAUCCUGAUAUUCAAGGGCCUUGGUAGGCAGUGUGCAGUCAGUGCUCCAUCAACGGUCCCCAGCUUGUCUGAUUUAAGGCCUCUUGUGCUCACUCUGCUUUUGCAAAUACAUUUCUCUUACUGAAAAUGACAGCAUGUAAUAGCAGUUGGAAGAGAUGACCAAAAUAAAACACUUUACCCUUUGUGAUGUGUACAUCCAAAAAUGGCUUUAAUCUUUAAAUGUGCUCAUUUAUGAUUUUUAUGGGUACCAAGUCACUCUCGUUGAGUUUAAUGGUGAUUUCAUUUGUCUUAUGAUUUUCAAAAACAAUUUUUAGAGUUUUCCAUUGUUAGAAGUAUAUGGAAAUGACUGUAUUUUUCACAUAAACAUCAAUUUAGUUUAUGUAUUUUGUAAAGAAUUCUCAUACAGUAGUCUUUUCUUAUUUACAAAUCAUCUUUCCCUUUUUGCUGCAUGAGUUGUGUUUUAUGAAGCAGCAACCAUGAUGUGAGGAGGAGUCUUGUCUGAUCAGAGGCAGAAUUAACAUUGCUUGAAAGAGCAGCCUUCUUUCUGUGUACUCAAGUUAAUUGAUGCAGUAAUUUAAUCAUUGAGCCGCUGCUCACAUUUCAUGUUUAAGUCACUUAAACUUGAUUUUAUUUUACUUUUUAGAAUGUCUAGGCUGAUGAGGAUUUAAAUGGAUUUGUAGCAUUUAAAAAUGUCCUCAAAACUGAUUGCAGCAUGACAUUCAUCAGAUUCUGUAUUCAGUUUAGUUUAGUUAUUUUGAAGCUAUCAGAUGAAAAAAAUCUAAGUUUAAUAUUCUGCAACAGGUUUUUCCAUCAUCAUUCUAAAGCCCAGGGGAACACAAUAUAUUUUUUUUAGUUUUAGUCUUCUAUUUUUCCUUAGGAUAUUUUUGACCCCAGAUACUUUUUCCUUUAAAUUUGACUGAGCUGUGAUCAUGGCUCUGACCUCUAGCCUUGAAAGAAGAGGAGUUAUGCCUCUCAGGAGCGAUGCCUCAGGCACUUUGCAAAUCAGCUGGCAGGGAUUAUUUCCCAGGCUGUGAAGCGAUGACCUUCUACAGAGAGUUAAUGUCUGCAGUGCACGUAAAUUCCUUCAGCCAUGAUUGAGAGCCCUAGGUUUGUUACCUGCUCUGUGAAUCAGAGUCCAUUCUAUCUCUAUGGAAGAUGGGUAAUUUAGUGCUAUAUUUAAAGGCACAUGUUAUAUGUUCACAUGUCAGGUAAUUUACUGCUGGAGGUGGAUAUAUCCAGUUUUUCAGCCCCAUAUAGGGUUAGUUCGGAAGUAAAUCUGGAAUUUUGGAAUGAAAAACUGGGAUGACUUUACUCUGAUUAGAGGGCACCUUACCUGUUAUUUCUAUAAACAAAGUGUGCCAGUAGUGCUCUGUCAGCUGUUCCCACCUUGUCUGAUUUCAGUCUUCCAAAGAGGAUUUCUGUUGCCUCCUAAGCUAUCCUUACAAUAAGUUAAUGCUGAUUGCUUCAGUAUUCUCAGAAUACAUUAAAAAGAGGAAUGAAAUUUCAAAUGAUUAGUAAACAGUUUUUGAAUCUGUAGGAUGUCAUUUGUUUUUAUUCUCUGAAUUGAACUGUCAAUUUUAAUCUAGUAAACUUCCAGAAUUUUUAUUCCAAAAAGCAUUUAUAUAUUUUUAAGAAAGAAAACUGACUUUCAAUAUUAAUUGGUGAUUUUUAGCAUUCAUAUGAAAAUAUAUAUUUUAAUUUCUUCUGAAAAAUCCUGGAAAAUCCACUUAUUGCCACAUCUAGUCUAGCCAGUUCCAGUAUGAGUAUGAUUGACAAAUCAUGGGAAAGCUUUAGUAAUUUAAGAGAGAAGCUAUGUCACUGAAGGCCAUGUGAAAUAGAUAGAAAUCCAGGAUAAGGAACUAUUACAAAAUGCCAUUGGUGAUAAUCUUCUAAUUUUCCAUUGUGUCCUAGUUAAAAAAUUAUCUGCCAUGAGUGGAAAUGUUUCCAAUUUAAAUCACAGGGAACUUUACUGGCAACAGGACCAUCGAUGUGAUAACUUCUUAGGUGGGUCUGCAACGUGGGUUCUGGGUAUCCAAGCUGCGUCUGCAGCCUACGCUACAGCUCACUGCAAUUCCAGAUUCUUAACCCACUGAGCGAGGCCAGAGAUCAAACCUGCAUCUUCAUGGAUACUAGUUGGGUUCAUUACCACUGAGCCACAAUAGGAAUUCCUAAGUUCUUAAAAUGUUGAUGGAGAAUAGUACUUAAUGAAGAUCAAUUACUCAAAUAAAGCUAAUUUUGUUAAUACAACUUUAAACUGUAAUGGAUAAAACAUAACUGUUAAAAUACAUUCAUUCUCUUUUGCUUGGUUUCUUCUUAUCAAAUGAAAUCUGUGAUAUAUUUGGAUGCAGAUUUAUUUAAAAGUCCCUGCUCAAUGGAAUCUGGUCAAACAGAGAGGGAAAACAGAAACACAAUGCUAGAGUUUCUGUCGUGGCUCAGUGGAAAAGAAUCUGACUAGUAUCCAUGAGGAUGCAGGUUCAAUCCCUGGCCCCACUCAGUGUGUCAAGGAUCCAGCAUUGCCAGGAGCUGUGGUGUAGGUCACAGACAAGGCUUGGUCUGGUGUUGCUGUGGCUGUGGUGUAGGCCAGCAGCUACAGCUCUGAUUAAACCCCUAGUCUGGAAACCUCCGUGUGCUGUGAGUGCAGCCCUAAAAAGAC